rnacentral:rRNA from 1 species
AGCGGACGGACGGGAGCUUGGCUCCCUGAUGUCAGCGGCGGACGGGUGAGUAACACGUGGGUAACCUGCCUGUAAGACUGGGAUAACUCCGGGAAACCGGGGCUAAUACCGGAUGCUUGAUUGAACCGCAUGGUUCAAUUAUAAAAGGUGGCUUUUAGCUACCACUUACAGAUGGACCCGCGGCGCAUUAGCUAGUUGGUGAGGUAACGGCUCACCAAGGCGACGAUGCGUAGCCGACCUGAGAGGGUGAUCGGCCACACUGGGACUGAGACACGGCCCAGACUCCUACGGGAGGCAGCAGUAGGGAAUCUUCCGCAAUGGACGAAAGUCUGACGGAGCAACGCCGCGUGAGUGAUGAAGGUUUUCGGAUCGUAAAACUCUGUUGUUAGGGAAGAACAAGUACCGUUCGAAUAGGGCGGUACCUUGACGGUACCUAACCAGAAAGCCACGGCUAACUACGUGCCAGCAGCCGCGGUAAUACGUAGGUGGCAAGCGUUGUCCGGAAUUAUUGGGCGUAAAGCGCGCGCAGGCGGUUUCUUAAGUCUGAUGUGAAAGCCCCCGGCUCAACCGGGGAGGGUCAUUGGAAACUGGGGAACUUGAGUGCAGAAAAGGAGAGUGGAAUUCCACGUGUAGCGGUGAAAUGCGUAGAGAUGUGGAGGAACACCAGUGGCGAAAGCGACUCUCUGGUCUGUAACUGACGCUAAGGCGCGAAAGCGUGGGGAGCGAACAGGAUUAGAUACCCUGGUAGUCCACGCCGUAAACGAUGAGUGCUAAGUGUUAGAAGGUUUCCGCCCUUUACUGCUGCAGCAAACGCAUUAAGCACUCCGCCUGGCGAGUACGGUCGCAGGACUGAAACUCAAAGGAAUUGACAGGGGCCCGCACAAGCGGUGCAGCAUGUUGUUUAAUUCAAAGCAACGCGCAAAACCUUACCAGGUCUUGACGUCCUCUGACAACCCUAGAGAUAGGGCUUCUCCUUCGCCCGCAGAGUGACCAGUGGUGCAUGGUUGUCGUCUCCUCCUCUCCUAAAAUUUUGGGUUAAGUCCCGCACCACCCCAACCCUGGUCUUAUUUCCAACAAUCAAUUGGGCGUCUAAGG